rnacentral:rRNA from 1 species
GCUUUUCCCCCCCCGGCUCUAGCAUAUCAAUAAGCGACAGUAGUUAGAACAACAGGGAUGGCCCCCAGUAACGGCGAGUGAAGCGGCAACAGCUCAAAUUUGAAAUCUGGCUUCGGCCCGAGUUGUAAUUUGUAGAGGAUGCUUUUGGUGAGGUGCCUUCUGAGUUCCCUGGAACGGGACGCCAGAGAGGGUGAGAGCCCCGUAUAGUUGGACACCGAGCCUCUGUAAAGCUCCUUCGACGAGUCGAGUAGUUUGGGAAUGCUGCUCAAAAUGGGAGGUAUAUCUCUUCUAAAGCUAAAUACUGGCCAGAGACCGAUAGCGCACAAGUAGAGUGAUCGAAAGAUGAAAAGCACUUUGAAAAGAGGGUUAAAUAGUACGUGAAAUUGUUGAAAGGGAAGCGCUUGUGACCAGACUUGUGCCCGGCUGAUCAUCCAGUGUUCUCACUGGUGCACUCUGCCGGGCUCAGGCCAGCGUCGGUUCUCGCAGGGGGACAAAAGCUUCGGGAACGUAGCUCCUCCGGGAGUGUUAUAGCCCGUCGCUCAAUACCCCUGCGGGGACCGAGGUUCGCGCUCUGCAAGGACGCUGGCAUAAUGGUCACCAGCGGCCCGUCUUGAAACACGGACCAAGGAGUCGAGGUUUUGCGCGAGUGUUUGGGUGUAAAACCCGCACGCGUAAUGAAAGUGAACGUAGGUGAGAGCUUCGGCGCAUCAUCGACCGAUCCUGAUGUAUUCGGAUGGAUUUGAGUAAGAGCGUAUAGCCCUCGGACCCGAAAGAUGGUGAACUAUGCCUGAAUAGGGGUGAAGCCAGAGGAAACUCUGGUGGAGGCUCGCAGCGGUUCUGACGUGCAAAUCGAUCGUCAAAUUUGGGCAUGGGGGGCGAAAGACUAAUCGAACCAUCUAGUAGCUGGGUUACCGCCGAUCCUUCCCCCCCCCCAAGAAGGAA